rnacentral:rRNA from 1 species
ACGUACCCAGUUCGGACUGUAGUCUGCAACCCGACUACACGAAGCUGGAAUCGCUAGUAAUCGCGAAUCAGAAUGUCGCGGUGAAUACGUUCCCGGGUCUUGUACACACCGCCCGUCACACCAUGGGAGUCGGGAAUGCCCGAAGUCAGUGACCCAACCAUAUGGAGGGAGCUGCCGAAGGCAGGUCUGAUAACUGGGGUGAAGUCGUAACAAGGUAUC